GCUGAAAAAUCAAUGUUUUUUAUGAGCGCUACCGCUUCGGCGCUCCAGCGAAAGCGUAAAAACUGCGCAUGCGAGAUAACUAAUUCAGCACGCGGAUCGAAACGUCAUCGUGUGCCAUUUAUUUGUUGAGCCCGCUCUCACGCGUUGAACACUCGAGCGCCCGCUUGCAGCUCCACCUAUCCCAUACAGACGCUGGCGCCGCCGCCGCGCCAUAAGAGACGAUCGACACACUUCAAACAUAUUUUUAACACGCCGCGCGCGUUGGACAGG
rnacentral:lncRNA from 1 species